GGCCAAGUAGCUCAGUUGGUAGAGCAGGGGACUGAAAAUCCCCGUGUCGGUGGUUCGAUUCCGCCCUUGGCCA
rnacentral:tRNA from 1 species